rnacentral:rRNA from 1 species
AGAUGGUGGGGUAACGGCUCACCAUGGCAAUGAUACGUAGCCGACCUGAGAGGGUAAUCGGCCACAUUGGGACUGAGACACGGCCCAAACUCCUACGGGAGGCAGCAGUAGGGAAUCUUCCACAAUGGACGAAAGUCUGAUGGAGCAACGCCGCGUGAGUGAAGAAGGGUUUCGGCUCGUAAAACUCUGUUGUUAAAGAAGAACAUAUCUGAGAGUAACUGUUCAGGUAUUGACGGUAUUUAACCAGAAAGCCACGGCUAACUACGUGCCAGCAGCCGCGGUAAUACGUAGGUGGCA